rnacentral:lncRNA from 1 species
CCAACAGGAGAAGAGAAGCCAUGAAUUCAAAUAAAAUAAAAUCAAGCAAAUCGUUCUCACGAAGAAGGCUAGCUAGGUUAACAAUUUUUGUCUUAAUCUUGCUGUUUUUAUUCGUGUGAUCAUCUGCUCAAGCUCCUCAACAAAAGCUUUAAGCUCUCUGCAAUCUCAGGUCUGUUAAUUAGAGCAUUGACCAACACAACCCUGAAAGAUCUUCGUCGGUUCCGAAUUGCAUUGCAACCCUAUGAGGUAAAUACUGUUCUGAACAGCCAACUCCACACAGCGUUGACGCCUCGAGCAAAUGCCAUUAAAUCGUCUUUCAAACUAGAACCAACAGUCGCCGGCCCACCUUUCUUUUUCUCCAUAAAACUUGAGGAAAUCCCAGUUUUCCAGAGCUAAAGCUCUCUUUAUCCGAGUCUAGAACCAACGAAACAUUCUCAACUUCCAGUUUCAAUUUGUUCCACCGAACCAACCUAGGGUACCCACUCCUAAUCAGAUUAGGCUCCGGCCGCCGCAGUUCACCGAACCUCUUCCAAACCCCAACCUGAACCAAUUGCAUUGAUGACCAAAGCUUAACUGUUAAACCAUCAUGGUUUCCCUUUGGAAUCCGCAACAAGGUUGACUCUACGAUUUAAUUUCCCUUUCAACAGAUUCAUAUCUCUAUAAAUGCUGGCAAGACAAGUGCAAUUCUAUUACCUCUAGCGACAUGAAUUAC